CGAACCCUUUAAGUAUCUACCAAACUAACGCAGUCAAGCUACUCGCCGACCACUCUAAGUUGAAGCAGGCUCUCUCACCUCAAGGUUAUCAACGGUCGUCGUUGUUGCGUUGCUGAACCGGCAACCAAGCUAAGGAUGGUGACAACCAGAUCAAUGUCUGGAACAACUAAGAAAACUGAUACGAGGAUGGUGACAACCAGAUCAAUGUCUGGAAUAACUAAGAAAACUGAUACAAUGAUGGUGCCAACCAGAGCUAUGUCUGGAACAACUAAGAACACAACCAAGAAAACUGAUACGAGGUAAGUUUUAUGAAAUUUUAUUUUAUUAUUAAAUUGUUAAUGGUUUCUGAGAAUAUUUUUUUUGGUGUGUGAUUAGGAUUGCUGUGAAUCAUGAAGUUGCUAGGAGAGCAAGCAAGC